GAUGAACGCUAGCGGCAGGCUUAAUACAUGCAAGUCGUGGGGCAGCAUGAGUAGCAAUACUUGAUGGCGACCGGCAAACGGGUGAGGAACACGUACACAACCUUCCUUCAAGCGGGGAAUAGCCCAGGGAAAUUUGGAUUAAUACCCCAUAAUAUAUUUGAUAAGGCAUCUUAUUAAUAUUAAAGCUUCGGCACUUGAUGAUGGGUGUGCGGCUGAUUAGAUAGUUGGCGGGGUAACGGCCCACCAAGUCUACGAUCAGUAGCUGAUGUGAGAGCAUGAUCAGCCACACGGGCACUGAGACACGGGCCCGACUCCUACGGGAGGCAGCAGUAAGGAAUAUUGGACAAUGGACGAAAGUCUGAUCCAGCCAUGCCGCGUGAAGGAUUAAGGUCCUCUGGA
rnacentral:rRNA from 1 species